ACAUUAAUACCAGCAGUGCAGCAGCCUCGUCGAAGCAAAAAUUGGGCUAUGAGCGCCAAUGAUUUCCCAGAGCAGAAUGUGAAAAUAUAGUCGCCACACUAUGGACUAGUUUGAUCAUGUUUUCUUUUAUCUUAUCACAAAUGAUUUGGCUUUCAAAAUUAGGAUGUAAAUGAAUUGAAAAAUGUUAGAAGUUGCACAAGAGGCAGACACCCUUUCUAAGUUACGUAUCCAAGUUUGCCAUCAUAGUAAUUGUGUUUUUUUUUUUUCAUUCAAAAAAACGUUGGAAUCAAGUGGUGUCUUUUAGCAAUUAUUUGGAUUCCACCAAAAUGAAAUGGCAGAAUUCACCGGGUUUAAGCCCAAUCACC